UUUGAAAUCUGGCCCCCCGGCCCGAGUUGUAAUUUGCAGAGGAUGCUUCUGGCGCGGUGCCUUCCAAGUCCCCUGGAACGGGGCGCCAUAGAGGGUGAGAGCCCCGUCCGGUUGGCCGCCAAGCCUGUGUGAAGCUCCUUCGACGAGUCGAGUAGUUUGGGAAUGCUGCUCUAAACGGGAGGUAGACCCCUUCUAAAGCUAAAUACCGGCCAGAGACCGAUAGCGCACAAGUAGAGUGAUCGAAAGAUGAAAAGCACUUUGAAAAGAGGGUUAAACAGUACGUGAAAUUGUUGAAAGGGAAGCGCUUGUGACCAGACGUGCGCCGGGUGUUCAGCGGGCGUUUUCGCCCGUGCAUUCGCCCCGGCGCAGGCCAGCGUCGGUUUGGGCGGGGGGAUAAAGGCGCCAGGAACGUAUCUCCCCCGGGAGUGUUAUAGCCUGGCGCGCCAUGCCCCCGCCUGGACCGAGGUUCGCGCUCCGCAAGGACGCUGGCGUAAUGGUCCCCAGCGGCCCGUCUUGAAACACGGACCAAGGAGUCGAGGUUCUACGCGAGUGUCUGGGUGUCAAACCCGCACGCGUAAUGAAAGUGAACGCAGGUGGGAGCUUCGGCGCACCACCGACCGAUCCUGAUGUUUUCGGAUGGAUUUGAGUAGGAGCGUAGGGCCUCGGACCCGAAAGAUGGUGAACUAUACUUGGAUAGGGUGAAGCCAGAGGAAACUCUGGUGGAGGCUCGCAGCGGUUCUGACGUGCAAAUCGAUCGUCAAAUCUGAGUAUGGGGGCGAAAGACUAAUCGAACCAUCUAGUAGCUGGUUACCGCCGAAGUUUCCCUCAGGAUAGCAGUGUUGGUCUCAGUUUU
rnacentral:rRNA from 1 species